UGAUACUGAGAAAAGAUCAACCAUGUAUUAUUCGAAAUCAACAAAGCGAAUAUAACACGGUCGAUCUCUCUUCAAGUACCA
rfam:Callithrix jacchus chromosome 10, whole genome shotgun sequence